CUACAGCCGUCCGAUUCAGCACCGCCGCCUCCUCCUCUGUUUACUUCCUACGUUUAGAUGAUUUCCCAGCCAGGUCCGGCCCACAAAGUCAUUGGCCAUCUUCCUCAUUAACAAGUGCAGACUAUUGCACUAAAUUGAGUGGGCUCGGUUGCCACUAGGCCCAGCAAGGGAAUAAGCGGGUUUUACUUUGUAUUGGUCGGCCGGGUAAUGAUCGAGUUUGUGAAUAAAAAUACAGUAUGCAAUUUUUUGGGAUAUAAACUCUCCUAACCAAAGAGAUGCUAUGCGACGGUUAUGCCUGGCAGUUUUCUGUCCCGCAACUCGCUGGUAUCUUGCCGGUCGCCGGCGGUUACCUCCAGCCUUUGCUGCGUGCAACCAGCGACUUGUCCGCCUUACCCUCUUGUUCAAAUUAGAUGGGUUCAUUAAUUCAGCACUUCCUAGUCUGUUCUCCCCACUCCAUGGGCAUCUCAAAGAUGACUGACAAUUCAGUGUUUAAUUUCUCCUCCGAUACGGUUGCUGUAGCCGGUGAUCGUGCCGCUACCAGUCUGUUGGCUCGAUUUUUCUAUGCCAAACUGAAAUCGGUAAAUCUUAUUCGUGCAUCUUUCUCCAGGAAGUACGGGCUCCAACGAAAGUUGACGAUCAUUGAGGUGACUCAUGGCCUCCAUCGGUUGUUUUUUCGCGGACAAAGAAUCGAUGAACAAGGUUUUGCAGAGACGCCCAUUGACUCUCGAUGGCCUUCUCAUUAAUGUGGUCCGUUGGAAGGCCCCCUCGCCGUAUAUGUUCCGCUCGCUUCGGUAAAUAAAGCUUUGGGUUCACCUGGAACGGUUCCUGACAAAUUGCGCACCCCGACAUUUGCAUCAGGCCUGUUAGGACUUAUGGGUGAGGUUCUGGAGACGGGGUUGUUCACCUCUGCUGAGGAGCCAGGCUACUUCCUCCGGAGAUUUGUCCGAUUUAAUGCCUUGGGCUCCUUUGACAGCCGGCGUAGGGCUCGAUCUGAGGAUAGGAACACCUUCUGGGUUCGUCUCUGUUAUGAAGGGCUACCAGUGGUGUGUUAUUUGUGCGGCCGUCUGGGUCAUCUCUUCAAUAUGUGCGACGCUGUUGAUCCGUUGCCUCUCGAUUUGUAAUCUCGGGGACAGUGGAUGACUAUCCCAGUAGGGUACCGCCGAGUGCAUCCUUUCACCCUCCAGCCAGAGGACCGGCCGAUGAUGUAGAUCCAGGCCAUUCCGGUUUCUCACGUGGCGGUAUCGGCUCCUCCGACGGUUUCGACUGGGCAGUCUCGCAGGAAGAAACGCAAGGUCGUGGCGAUGGCCUCUCCGGCUGCUCCGUUCCUGGUGCUCCCUCCCCGGCUCCAGUGGAUCGCCGUCUGGCGAGUCCGGACUCGGUGGGGUCUUCCACAGCGGCAGCAGUUCCUCCAGGGCUAGGUAACUGCUCCUCCUUGUUCUUCAUUUCUUUUCUAGCCCUAGCAGUUUGGAUGGUUGUGGUUGUUGUUUCAUGGGCCAGCAGGCCUUCAAUGGGCCGCUCUAUGCAUUUUGUAGAUCACUCCGUUGGGAUGGGGCGGACAGCAACUACAAUUGGCGUGUCGUCUGGGUCGCCGCUAACGCUGGAAAGGCCUCAACUUGGGCGGCUAUCCAUGCUCCCUCCUCCAACAGAUUCUAGCGCUGGGGUCGGGCUUUGGGUAUGGCGAAUCUUCGGAUUUUGAUGUUUUAGUUGGUGAUUAUGCCCCAUUUGGAUCUCUCCCGGUGAUUUGUGAUGUUUUAGUUUCUUUUUUCUUUGAAGGCCUCUGAUUGCUCCAUCGGGCCGUUGCCAUGCGCUCCUUGCAUGGGUUACAGGUUAAUUCGCGGUGUCCAGUGGUGUCACAUCUAAUGUUCGCUUAUGACACCAUCCUUUUCCUUCGUGUUUCGGAUUCAGCUAUUGCUUCCUUGCUCGCCCUGUUCCAGGCAUAUUAAAUUCUCAGUGGCCUGUGUCAAUCUUGGGAAGUCCGCGACGUUGUUCAGUAAUAACACUCCGGAAUCUGACUGCCAAUGAUAAAUGGCUCGCCUGGGGGUGGCUGCCUUCAGACCCCAGGAUCGCUACAUUGUCC
rnacentral:lncRNA from 1 species